CGAUGGCCUCAGUGAGCCCGGCCUGGAUGGGCUCUGCAGGCUUGUCCAUGGGUUUUUGUUUUUUUUUGUUUUUCCAAAUUCAUUUUCACAGGCAGGCAUUUUGUCUGCCAGCCAAAACCUUGAUUUUCACAGAUGGGCGUUGUGUCCGCCUCUGUAAAGCCGCAUUAAUGCAUGCAUUUUGGUGGAGGCGAAUGCUUUACCUGCCUCCAUAAACUGAAAUUGACAGCCUCCAUUAAGAUUUGUGCAGUAAGUUUUGAAUUAUGGAUACAAUCUCGGGCGGUGAGAUGCUUUAACAAAGUUUUAGUUCUUGACCAGAUCUAAAACUAUGCAUUUUUCCUAUAAGUUGAAGUUUUUUGGGAGCUAAAAUAUUCAAUACUAGAUUUGUGAAGACUAAUAAGAAAGGAUAGGUUCAUCUGUUUGGUGACAAGAAACUAUCUGGUGGAGUACUAGGAGAGGAUCCCUCCUACCUAGAGGUAUUGAGUUUGAAAGCCAACAUGCCUAUGUUUCUUUUUUUGGAUUUGCUUAUAUUUCAAUCUAAUGCCCAUGAAAACUGCGUAUCUAGCCAUCUAACCAUGGUGUCUCACCUUGGCUUUGUUGGGGAUUCACCCAUGCCACCCCCCCCCCAAUUGCUUCGGAAGCAAUGGUUACUAGGCUCAGGUGCGGGGGCCCAACCUUCGUGGCCCGAACCUUCGUAUGAUGAGGUGCGGAGCUUCGGGGAAGAACUAGAGCUGACUUGGCCUGAUUCUGUGAGACAGGUACAGAACGACCAGCCUGGUGCGGAGAACCCCAGAAGAAUGCACGAAUCCUUCGGUCUCGAGAUGGCGAAGUGCUUCGAGAGGCGGGCGCUGAUCCUUCAACAUCUGACUGGCGGAGGAUCAGGAACCACUGGUGGAGGAAUAGCGAAGACCUGGAAUUACUUAAGUAGCCCCUGUAGGUCAAUGCCCGGGGGUAGAAUAUGCUGGAAUAUUCCGCCACCGUCACGGGGCGUUUUAGUGAUAAAUCUUGGUCGGGAACUGAGUCCUAUGUAAAAGGAUUGUAAACAUUUCCCUUGGA
rnacentral:lncRNA from 1 species